GAUGAACGCUGGCGGCGUGCCUAAUACAUGCAAGUCGAGCGAACGGACGAGAAGCUUGCUUCUCUGAUGUUAGCGGCGGACGGGUGAGUAACACGUGGAUAACCUACCUAUAAGACUGGGAUAACUUCGGGAAACCGGAGCUAAUACCGGAUAAUAUUUUGAACCGCAUGGUUCAAAAGUGAAAGACGGUCUUGCUGUCACUUAUAGAUGGAUCCGCGCUGCAUUAGCUAGUUGGUAAGGUAACGGCUUACCAAGGCAACGAUGCAUAGCCGACCUGAGAGGGUGAUCGGCCACCCUGGAACUGAGACACGGUCCAGACUCCUACGGGAGGCAGCAGUAGGGAAUCUUCCGCAAAGGGCGAAAGCCUGACGGAGCAACGCCGCGUGAGUGAUGAAGGUCUUCGGAUCGGAAAACUCUGUUAUUAGGGAAGAACAUAUGUGUAAGUAACUGUGCACAUCUUGACGGUACCUAAUCAGAAAGCCACGGCUAACUACGUG
rnacentral:rRNA from 1 species